rnacentral:rRNA from 1 species
AUGGGCGAGCGGCAACAGGGGCUAAUGAGUUGUGUUCUGCUCUGUUCUCGUUCACAUGCAGGGUCAAGGAGGCGGGAUAUCCAUGUCGGCUUCAUCCAAGGUCAAGCUUACCACGACCACCCCACCACCAAGCAAAGCGAACAACCACAUCACGGUGCCAAGGUAUCCAACUCUUAUCCUCUUUCUUUUCUCUCUCCCGUCCUCUUUUUCAUUGAAGUAACCCCUCCUGUGUGGUGUGGCUGUCAUCCAUAUCUUCCUGUUUGCAAGUCUCUCGGUUCAGUAAUGCAUAGUAACUUGGAUGAUGGAAAUGAAAAUUGA